UUACUUACCUGGCAGUGGAGAUACCAUGAUCAUGAAGAUAGUUUUCCCAGGGCAAGGCUUAUCCAUUGCAUUCUGGAUGUGCUGACCCCUGCAGUUUCCCCAGACGUGGGACAUGCAACUGCAUAAUUUGUGGUAGUGGGGGACUACAUUUGUACUA
ensembl:snRNA U1 U1 spliceosomal RNA